rnacentral:rRNA from 1 species
AGAGUUUGAUCAUGGCUCAGAUUGAACGCUGGCGGCAGGCCUAACACAUGCAAGUCGAACGGUAACAGGAAGCAGCUUGCUGCUUCGCUGACGAGUGGCGGACGGGUGAGUAAUGUCUGGGAAGCUGCCUGAUGGAGGGGGAUAACUACUGGAAACGGUAGCUAAUACCGCAUAAUGUCGCAAGACCAAAGAGGGGGACCUUCGGGCCUCUUGCCAUCGGAUGUGCCCAGAUGGGAUUAGCUUGUUGGUGGGGUAACGGCUCACCAAGGCGACGAUCCCUAGCUGGUCUGAGAGGAUGACCAGCCACACUGGAACUGAGACACGGUCCAGACUCCUACGGGAGGCAGCAGUGGGGAAUAUUGCACAAUGGGCGCAAGCCUGAUGCAGCCAUGCCGCGUGUAUGAAGAAGGCCUUCGGGUUGUAAAGUACUUUCAGCGGGGAGGAAGGGAGUAAAGUUAAUACCUUUGCUCAUUGACGUUACCCGCAGAAGAAGCACCGGCUAACUCCGUGCCAGCAGCCGCGGUAAUACGGAGGGUGCAAGCGUUAAUCGGAAUUACUGGGCGUAAAGCGCACGCAGGCGGUUUGUUAAGUCAGAUGUGAAAUCCCCGGGCUCAACCUGGGAACUGCAUCUGAUACUGGCAAGCUUGAGUCUCGUAGAGGGGGGUAGAAUUCCAGGUGUAGCGGUGAAAUGCGUAGAGAUCUGGAGGAAUACCGGUGGCGAAGGCGGCCCCCUGGACGAAGACUGACGCUCAGGUGCGAAAGCGUGGGGAGCAAACAGGAUUAGAUACCCUGGUAGUCCACGCCGUAAACGAUGUCGACUUGGAGGUUGUGCCCUUGAGGCGUGGCUUCCGGAGCUAACGCGUUAAGUCGACCGCCUGGGGAGUACGGCCGCAAGGUUAAAACUCAAAUGAAUUGACGGGGGCCCGCACAAGCGGUGGAGCAUGUGGUUUAAUUCGAUGCAACGCGAAGAACCUUACCUGGUCUUGACAUCCACGGAAGUUUUCAGAGAUGAGAAUGUGCCUUCGGGAACCGUGAGACAGGUGCUGCAUGGCUGUCGUCAGCUCGUGUUGUGAAAUGUUGGGUUAAGUCCCGCAACGAGCGCAACCCUUAUCCUUUGUUGCCAGCGGUCCGGCCGGGAACUCAAAGGAGACUGCCAGUGAUAAACUGGAGGAAGGUGGGGAUGACGUCAAGUCAUCAUGGCCCUUACGACCAGGGCUACACACGUGCUACAAUGGCGCAUACAAAGAGAAGCGACCUCGCGAGAGCAAGCGGACCUCAUAAAGUGCGUCGUAGUCCGGAUUGGAGUCUGCAACUCGACUCCAUGAAGUCGGAAUCGCUAGUAAUCGUGGAUCAGAAUGCCACGGUGAAUACGUUCCCGGGCCUUGUACACACCGCCCGUCACACCAUGGGAGUGGGUUGCAAAAGAAGUAGGUAGCUUAACCUUCGGGAGGGCGCUUACCACUUUGUGAUUCAUGACUGGGGUGAAGUCGAAACAAGGUAACCGUAGGGGAACCUGCGGUUG